rnacentral:rRNA from 1 species
UACGGAGGGAGCUAGCGUUGUUCGGAAUUACUGGGCGUAAAGCGCGCGUAGGCGGCUUUGUAAGUUAGAGGUGAAAGCCCGGGGCUCAACCCCGGAACUGCCCUUAAGACUGCAUCGCUUGAAUCCGGGAGAGGUGAGUGGAAUUCCGAGUGUAGAGGUGAAAUUCGUAGAUAUUCGGAAGAACACCAGUGGCGAAGGCGGCUCACUGGACCGGUAUUGACGCUGAUGUGCGAAAGCGUGGGGAGCAAACAGG